rnacentral:rRNA from 1 species
AGUGAACGCUGGCGGUAGGCCUAACACAUGCAAGUCGAACGGCAGCACAGGAGAUCUUGCUCUCUAGGUGGCGAGUGGCGGACGGGUGAGGCAUACAUCGGAAUCUGCCCAGUCGUGGGGGAUAACGUAGGGAAACUUACCCUAAUACCGCAUACGACUUUCGGGUGAAAGAGGGGGAUCGCAAGACCUUUCGCGAUUGGAUGAGCCGAUGUCGGAUUAGCUAGUUAGCGGGGUAAUGGCCCACCAAGGCGACGAUCCGUAGCUGGUCUGAGAGGAUGAUCAGCCAGACUGGAACUGAGACACGGCCCAGACUCCUACGGGAGGCAGCAGUGGGGAAUAUUGGACAAUGGGCGCAAGCCUGAUCCAGCCAUACCGCGUGGGUGAAGAGGGCCUUCGGGUUGUAAAGCCCUUUUGUUGGGAAAGAAAUCUUUCAGGCUAAUACCCUGGGAGGAUGACGGUACCCAAAGAAUAAGCACCGGCUAACUUCGUG